GUUGCCUGAACAAAAACUCUGAGAAGCAAGAGGCAGCUUUGCUGUGUACCUGGGCUGGAGCUGCUCCUCCCCUCAGCAGAGGGCAGGACAGGAGGAUGCUGCUGCAUGUGUGGGAUAAGUGACAAUCUGCAGUGCUGAGAAGAGCACAAGCUGAAAACAAGGGUUCUGUGGUUUUGUCCUGUAUUGCAACCUUCCAGCCGAAGACCAUCUAAGUCAAAGCAGAAGGAACGGAAAGCCUCAUUUUUCUGAGGCAGCGGCUUCUUGCAGUCAUCAUCCUCCAACUGCUUUGAUGUUACAAGAGAUUACAUUGAGGUAUGAUUAGAAGGGAUGCUGGAACUAUGCCCACCUCUCCUCCCAGGAUUUUUAAGAGAGAUCAGUGAAAAUCCAGCCUGCCUUGAAACCAGGAAAGAGGUGUAGAUCCUUACCUAUGAAAUUUCCAGGAGGAAGCUCUAGCAAGAAACAUCUCUAGAUGAUCCAAAGGAGAUGUCCCCUCCAUUGUGCUGCAUCUGAG